CUAGUGGAAGGUGUCCCUGCCCAUGGCAGGGGGUGGAAGGAGAUGAUCUUUAAGGUUCCUUCCAACUCAGACCAUUCUAUGCACUGUGAUGCUGCUGAUCCCAGAUGUUUCUGUCUCAGGAGCUGCAGGGAGAGGUCUGCAGCAUCCCAUUUGUCCUGCCCAAGAACAGGAGCUUCCCCAGCCACACAUGUUCCCACCAGAAACCAGGGUUUCAUCCACGCCACAGCCUGCAUGGGGAGAUGGAAGUGAAACCCCUGAUGUUUCUGAGCUGAAAAUGUCUUUUCUUUCUGUUCCAUAGGAAAUGUCACUGUUCACUUCUCCAUUCCACUGCAAGGGGAACAGAAACAGGUCCUGAAGUGUCUGGAUUUGCUGUGGAAGGAAGAUGCUGAUUUUUCUACAGGGAAUCACAUAGCAGAAGUAGCUGAAACCCAAGAAAAAAAUCCAGGCUUCCUCCUCUAUUCACAAGCCAGGAGUGAGCAGGAUUGUCGCUGGGAGGAGAUUCCGGGACACGAUCACAAGCAGAAAGAGUUGACUUUCCUCUGCCAAAGGCAGCCAGGGAGGACUGGAGUUUAUAGAGCAAUUCAGCAUCGGUGUUGGCUUUCCACCCCCUCAAAGCCCCGAGGAGGCUCCGCGCGGAGCUCGGGCGAUGUUCCGUCGAUAAUAAUGACUCAGCGUUUGGCCGCUCCGCGGGGCUGUGGAAAUAGUGCUCAGCGUUUUCAAGGAAGGGCCCUUUGGAUGCUUCCCCCCGGCACUGCUGGGCUCUGCUGCCCUGGCAGGGAGCACAGAGACGGGAAUGGCCCCGGCACAGCCCCCGGGGCAGCAGCCCCGCGGUGGAGCGAGGCCAGGGCAAGUGGGCAGGCUCAGCAGAAAAGAGGUGGAGGGGGAGCAUCCCGGAGGAGCGGCCGGGGCGGAGGAGCAGGAUAUGUGGGAGCACGGCAGAGCACGGGAGGAUGUCCUCACAGAGCCUGGCACGAGGAGCGUGUCCAUCUGCCCCAGGUGUGCAGGGCUGGGAAGGAGUUAAACGGAGCCACCCAGGCCCUGAAUGUCCAGUGUGAUCCAGGCCAUUUAAUUAGUGUCCCAUGCUCCGGGAGUUCGAUAGCGUUUUCCCCCCGGGAGGAGUGCACCGGCUCACAUAUAUUGCCUGUUAUCUUUCAAGUACUCUGAGCAGAAUGCUUUUUCAGUAACCUCAUCAAAGGAUAAGCCAGGAUUCAGAUAAGCUUUUCAAGGAGGAAGUCAGGGUUAUAAUUUUCAGAGACUUCUGAAUGUCACCUCCAAUUUUCGGCUCCGCCGUUGGAGCGGCCGUUUUUGGAAGCCACCCAGCCUCAGAUAUUGAAAUGGGUCACCUGUGGACUGGGGCCUCCUCAGUUCCUGGUCAUCGUCAGUCUGGCAGAUCCCGGAGUUGAAAGUGCCUGAGAUUUCUGACUUUAUAAUAAUGCGGUUUCUCAGAAGUGCAAAUUACAGAGGAAUUGGUGCUAAACUCCCCAUUAACUAUAGAGCCUGAGAAAUCCUCAGUGUCCCAAAUUACCUGUCACUUUCUCUGUAACGUGGCAUAAUUCUGUCACUUAACAAAAAAAAAAAAUAAAGGGUUGUAAUUUGAAAUUUCAGUGAAAUUCCUAAUUGAGGGUGUGACUCACUUCGUAGCAGGCUGUGCCCCCCCUCAGCUGCAGGGCAGGGGGUUUGCCAUCCCCUGGAUAUCAUGAUGCUCCCCAAGCCCCCAGGUGGGACCCCCCAGUGAUGGUUCCCCUUUCUGUGGUCUCUUUGGGGUGCUGGGAGCCAUUCUGCAGCACUCAGCCUCCAGAGAGAGCAGGGAAAAGGGGGGUUACAAGGACCCCCAAGAGUAGGGGGACAGGCUUGAGGGAGAAGGUGGCAGGAAAACUCCAGCUCAGGUUAAUGUCAGGGUUAAACCAGCUCCUGUGCCUCUAAAACACCUGUGUGUCACAGAGAAAUCAGCUUAUUAGAAGGUUUUGGAUAUGGGAAGGUGGAUGGUUUCCCAGAGUAGGAGAUGGAGGACAGAUACAGUCAGUGGCACCAACAGGCACGGAAGGAACGAGACUCUGAACUGUUGGUUUUUUGUGAAUUAGGUUUUGUUGUGAGCUGCAAACAACUUUUGGCUGCGUCUCCAAGGCCACAUUUUUAGCUUUCAUUCAUGACCAGAAGAUUUUCACCAAAAAUAACCUACUCUGAUUAAAAAGCACUUUGAGGUAAAUAUAGGGAGGGAAAAGCCAGGGAAGAGCAAUGACCAAAAUGUUUUCUUCUUUCACUGACACCUGCCAAAAGCUGAAGCUGGCUGAGGUGGUCCUGGCUGGGCAGGGCAGAGGAGCUGGGGUGGGUGAGUGUCCUGCCAGCUCCAGGCAUCGGUGUGAGCCCGAGCCAUGCCCAGCUCUGGGCACACCUGGCUCAGGUCUGGCAUUGCCCCUUCACAUCCUCCCUCCUCUCCCUCCCCUGGGAGGAAGAGCUCGGGCACAGGUAGCUCCCUUCCCUUGGGAGAGGGGCUGGGAAGCUGCAGGGGUUAAAAAGAAGUCAGCAGCAGCUCAGUGCCUUUUCUUCCCCUCUGGUUUUUUCUUCUUUUCCCCUCCUGGCUGAAUCAAUAAUUAAGCAUAUUCUAAGUAGUACAGUUUUGCUUGAAAUUUUCCAUUUGGCUUGGGCAUCAGUUGGAAAUGAAAUAUUUAGAGGACAGAAUAUAGUAAUAAAGCCAAGACACAUUUUCUGCUAGUAUAUUUUAUUUAUUUUGUUUAAUAAUGAGGUUCUGUGUCUGUCUCUACCCCCCUCCGUAUCAGUGGCUUUCUCCUCUUCCCCUUUCCUUCGGAGGCAGGAGAUAAUAUCCCCCUUUUAAAAAAAUAAUAAAGUCUGGCUUGUCUAACAAAUCAGGCCCUGUGCUCUGAUGUUGUAAGUGUUCAAAGGAGCUUCCCAGAAGGCUGAGGGAGGGGAGGAACCCAGCACUGAUGCUCCUGCUCCACUCAUCUGUCUGCAAGGACAAAGUGAAAGGGAUUCCUUUGCUUAAAAUUAUUUGUUCCCUGGUGCAAAACCUUUAAUAAUUCCCUGGGAAGGGAACGGGUCCUCGCCAUGUGGGAACACAGCCUGCUGUGCUCUGUCUGCCCUUGGCACCUCCACGUUUCCACUGUUAAAUGUAUUCUGGCUCAUCCUGGCCCUUUCCUCUGCUCUGUCAGUGGGGUCGAGAUGCUGCAGGAACAUAUUCCCUGGGGAAUGCCAGGAAUACAUCGCAGAUGCUGGCAGGAAAGCAGGGAGAAGGUGUGGAAUGCCCAGUGGUUGACCAGGGAAGGCUGUGAGACCUGACACAGCCCCAACCCUUCCCAUCCCAGUUCCCUUCCCCCAUGUAGGUGGGAAAUGCUUGUGCUGCCCCAUCAAACUCUUUGUGGCUUCAACCUUCCCCCCUCCCCUCCCCAUACUCCUGGGAUGUAAAAGCAAAUGUAAAUCCCUCAAAUAGAAAUGACUCCCAGGAAAUUCCGAUCAUGUACAGCGAAGUGCUUCAUCCCAACAGCUUCAAAAUGUUUCCCUCAGAUUUUGAUCUUUUCUUCAAAACCUGUUUACAGUUAAAAAAAAUAAAUAACUGUGUCUGUAUUUGA